rnacentral:rRNA from 1 species
UACGAAGGGGGCUAGCGUUGCUCGGAAUUACUGGGCGUAAAGGGCGCGUAGGCGGAUAUUUAAGUUGGGGGUGAAAUCCCGGGGCUCAACCUCGGAAUUGCCUUCAAAACUGGAUAUCUUGAGUUCGGGAGAGGUGAAUGGAACUCCGAGUGUAGAGGUGAAAUUCGUAGAUAUUCGGAAGAACACCAGUGGCGAAGGCGACUCACUGGCCCGAUACUGACGCUGAGGCGCGAAAGCGUGGGGAGCAAACAGG